rnacentral:lncRNA from 1 species
AAUGAAUCAACGAAUAUUAAAGUUUAAUAAUCGUGGGGAAAAAGGGGGGUCACAUUGUGAAGUAAAAGUUUAUCUAAUCAUAUGAUGUAAACGCAUACAUCAGAACAUCUGAUGUUCCCUUAAAUUGCAGGUUAUAUCCCAGAAAUAUCAAAACGCAAACAUCAGAACGUCUGAUGUGAUAUUUUACGGGACUGAAAAAAGGGGGGGGGGGGCUGAAAUCUGAAAUAAAUGUAUCUUCUGUUCAGUAAUAAUAGCCAACCAAUAAUUAGUCUUCUAAAGCAAAUAAAUAAAGUGAAUCAAUCUAUCCACCUUAUUCUUAAUAUGUUUUCCACCUUUCAAAACUUUAAAUUCGGCGCCAACAAACGUCAAAACAAAGAACUUCCAGUAAAUUCGUUGCCGACUUCUGAC